AGACUGAUAAGUUUAGGUUGCAAGUCAUGUCUUUCUCAAAAUGUAAGAAACAGUGCAACGCCACUUUUGUUUCUUGCUUCUGUAACUCGCUUCUUACCUCACAUAAUUCCUGCCUUAAAAUGUUUAAAAGUAGGAAAAGCCCUUUGUUUGGGGCUCAGACUUUCUGGACAUAUGUCCAGCUGGGCCAGUGAUGACCUUAAUAGACUCUCCUGAACCUUUUUUGGUCUCUCCAGUCUUUGAUUGUCCUGUAACAUUUCUGGGGGCUUAUCCGGGAUUGGAGAUGGCAGAUUUUCUGUCUUCUUUGCCUGUGGGCUAGAGCCCCAGGAUGUGGGAGAUCUGGGGUCCUUGGCACCGCUGGGAGAGUUUCAGCCUGGAAGGAGAAUGGCCCUCCCGCAUUCCAGAGCCUUCCCCUGACAGCACCAAAGGAACCAGUGGAAAGGGUUGCAGGACAGUCACAGGAGCAGUGCACAGACAUCUGAACCAUGUUCUUUGAAGAAAUGCCUCAGGAUGUUGAUCCCACUUGUUUAAAAUUUCCAUUGGAAGCUCUGCUGUUGUCUGCAGCUGAACUGGGAGCAAUAAUUUUGGCAUCCUUGAAGAGAAAAAUUUACUCAACUUUAAUUUUUCAGUCAGAAUCAUGAAAGUUGAAUCAAUUGAGAUGUCUACGGUGUUGGCUACUGUUUCUGCUGUGAAUUGUUGGUCCUUUUUAGUUCAGGCAUGAACAAGAUUACUUUUUCCUCACAAAUUUAUGUGGAUGGUCUGCCAGUGUGGGCUUCAUCUUUUACAUCAUCUAAUACCUUCUUAAAACAAGUUACCCAUUUAUAAGCUGCUAAUUUUGGGACGUCAUUAUUCUAUAAACUUUUCAUAAAGCAUGAAUGAUUUAAUCAUUCUUCCACUCAAGCAUCAUUUUAAAUUUGGUUUUUGUUUUUGCUUCAAAUUUACCAAAGUGCAUGUUGCUCUGAUAGGGGCUGUUUCCAAACUGAUGUUUCAUCCUACUUAGUGCGUCAAAGUAGAUCCUUUUCAUACAUGUUAUAACAAGUUAGUGUAAGUUGAUUUUAGUGCCAAGAAAAUGUAAGUUCCGUGCUUACUUUUUGUUAUGUUAUGUUUUGUUUUUGAGACAAGGUCUCUCUCUGUCACCCAGGCUGGAGGGCAGUGGCGUGAUCACAGUUUACUGCAGCCUCAACCUCCUGGGCUUAAGCAAUCCUCCCACUUCAGCCUCCCAAGCAACUGGGGCUACAGGUGCGCACAACCAUGCUCAGCUAAUUUUCGUAUUUUUAGUUCAGAUGGGGUUUGGCCAUGUUACCUAGGCUGGUCUUGAACUCCUGGGCUCAAGCAAUCCUCCAGCCUCAGCUUCCCAAAGUGGGCCACCAUACCUGGCCCUGUCAUAGUUUUUUUUUUUUUUUUUUUUUUUUUUGUAUAUAUAACAUGCAUUUUCUGUGAACUUUUUUGAAGCCCUCCAGUAGAAGGAACAGUGGAGGCAAAGUAUGACAAGUGCAGAGCUAGCAUAAUCCUGAAUAGAAAAAGAUUGAAAACCUUUUCUCUAAUAUCAGGAACCAGACAAGAAUGCUACUUUUACCACUUUUUAUUUAGCAUAGUAUAGGAAGUCCCAGCCAGAGCAAUUAGGCAAGAAAAAGAAAUAAAAGAGGUGGUUUGUUGUUGUUGUUGUUUUUUCCCCCAAGAUGGUGAAUUAGAAGUUUCUAGCAUGCCUCAGCCACUUGGUAAUAACAAGAUAGUGAAUAAAGAUAAACUCUGUGAGCUUUAAUUCAAGAAGGAAUGUGGGACUCCACCAGAAUUAUGAAGAACACCCCAGAUCCUGGAGAGAAGAAUGUGGGUGAACAGCCCUUGUUGUGGUGUCCAGCUGAGAAAAGUGAGUAAAGCUUUAGGACAUGAGAGAGGUAGAGAGCUUCCCUCUGUGACUCACUACUCUACUGGGACCAAGCAACGCAGGCUGAGGGAGAGCACUUUAUUUCUCCCAAGCCCUGGAGAUAACUUGGGGAGAAGCUUAGACACAGAGUGAGACACCAAGAAAAGCUACAGUAUUUUUCUCAGACCCAGGACAAAGAGCAGGAUGCCAUUUUUAACAUGGGCGCUUAUAAAGUCAGCCAUUCUUUGGUGACUCAGCAGUAUAGCCACACAGGCAUUUUCAUUUCUGUCCAGAGAUUUAAGAGCCUGCUCUGGAGUGGGUUAGAGGCCUCUACAGCCAGAACUGUGAAAAGUGCCUUAGCAGUAGGCCCUGGAGUUGUGUUCUUCCCCAUUGCAGGCCUGGCUUCGCAGGAGAGCUGUCUCAUCUGCAGUUUUUCUUGGGUGAUGAGAUUUGCAGCCAGGGCCAGCUUGGUGACCUGGUGCUGGUCAGCAUUUGUCAUUCCUUGGUGUCCCAGUCUACUGCCCUGAGAUCAUGGUGCAGUGAGGUCCUCGCCACUCCAUCCCCAGGCAGAAAUCUAGGCAUUCAGAGCCCCUGUGUUGUGGUCAAUACUGAGUGUCAAUUUGAUUGGAUCAGAGGAUAGAAAGUAUUGAUCCUGGGUGUGUCUGUGAGGGUGUUGCCAAAGGAGAUUAACAUUUGAGUCAGUGGGCUGGGAAAUGUAAGAAAGGCAGACCCACCCUUAAUGUGGGUGGGCACCUUCUAACCAGCUGCCAGCAUGGCCAGGGUAAAGCAGCCAGAGAAAAGUGAAGAGGUUAGCCUGGCCUAGCCUCCCAGCCUACAUCUUUCUCCUGUGCUGGACCCUUCCAGUCCUCAAACAAUGGACUCCAGGUUCUUCAGUUUUGGGACUCCGACUGGCUUUUUCUUGCUCCUCAGCUUGCAGAUGGCCUAUUGUGGGACCUUGUGAUAAUGUAAUUAAUACUUAAUAAACUCCU
rnacentral:lncRNA from 10 species